GGACGUAAAAGUCGUAACAAGGUUUCCGUAGGUGAACCUGCGGAAGGAUCAUUAUUGUAUAACCGAGGUGCGAGGGCUGUCGCUGACCCGAAAGGUCGUGCACGCCCGAGUGCCCUCACACACAUCCAUCUCACCCCUAUGUGCACCACCGCGUGGGUCCCCCUUUGGCUUGUUCGGAGGGGGGCUUACGUUUUCACACAAACUUUGUAUGCAGUGUAGAAUGUAUUUUUUGUUUUUGCGAUCACGCAAUCAAUACAACUUUCAACAACGGAUCUCUUGGCUCUC
rnacentral:misc_RNA from 1 species